rnacentral:rRNA from 1 species
CCUACGGGUGGCUGCAGUGAGGAAUAUUGGUCAAUGGACGAGCGUCUGAACCAGCCAAGUAGCGUGAAGGAUGACUGCCCUAUGGGUUGUAAACUUCUUUUAUAAAGGAAUAAAACGAGGCACGUGUGCCUUUUUGCAUGUACCAUAUGAAUAAGCAUCGGCUAACUCCGUGCCAGCAGCCGCGGUAAUACGGAGGAUGCGAGCGUUAUCAGGAUUUAUUGGGGUUAAAGGGUGCGUAGGUGGUUAAUUAAGUCAGCGGUGAAAGUUUGUGGCUCAACCAUAAAAUUGCCGUUGAAACUGGUUGACUUGAGUAUAUUUGAGGUAGGCGGAAUGCGUGGUGUAGCGGUGAAAUGCAUAGAUAUCACGCAGAACUCCGAUUGCGAAGGCAGCUUACUAAACUAUAACUGACACUGAAGCACGAAAGCGUGGGGAUCAAACAGGAUUAGAUACCCCAGUAGUC